GGGAGCCUUCGAUAUCCAGAAAGGAGCACGGGCUAUUCAGGGCCCAGCCGGGCGGAUGGCGACUAUCAAAAGGAAAUAGGAUCAUGGCAGCAGA
rnacentral:lncRNA from 1 species